GAAAAGAUGCAGUGUGGCUGAUGGGCAGGACACAUGCAGCCCCAAGCGAUCUUGAGUCAGAUUGGAGAUCAUUUGCAAGAAACAUGUCCAGGUCAAAGAAAGAGAAAGGACCACUGAUGUGCUGAAGUCCCUACUUAGCAUUCAGGAGAAGCAAACUGGGGGCAGAAUAGGCUGCUCCCGUUCAGGUUGGCUAGCAAACCACGAUGACGUCGAAAGGAAGAACGGUUCAGCGUGACAUCAUGCAAAGGAGGCAUUUUAUGGCACAGGAUUGCAGUCAUUGGUGCAAGGACAUAAGUGGCCUUGGAAA